UGGGGAAUCUUCCGCAAUGGACGAAAGUCUGACGGAGCAACGCCGCGUGAGUGAAGAAGGUUUUCGGAUCGUAAAACUCUGUCUUUUGGGGCGAACGUGAGUAUGGUGAACAAUCAUAGUCAGUGACGGUACCAAAGGAGGAAGCCACGGCUAACUACGUGCCAGCAGCCGCGGUAAUACGUAGGUGGCAAGCGUUGUCCGGAAUUAUUGGGCGUAAAGAGCGCGUAGGCGGGAUAGUCAGUCUGUUGUAAAAGUGCGGGGCUCAACCCCGUGAUCGCAAUGGAAACAGCUAUUCUUGAGUGCAGGAGAGGAAAGUGGAAUUCCCAGUGUAGCGGUGAAAUGCGUAGAUAUUGGGAGGAACACCAGUGGCGAAGGCGACUUUCUGGACUGUGUCUGACGCUGAGGCGCGAAAGCCAGGGGAGCGAACGGGAUUAGAUACCCCGGUAGUCCUGGCCGUAAACGAUGGGUACUAGGUGUGGGAGGUAUCGACCCCUUCCGUGCCGGAGUUAACGCAAUAAGUACCCCGCCUGGGGAGUACGGUCGCAAGACUGAAACUCAAAGGAAUUGACGGGGGUCAUAGCUGUUUCCUG
rnacentral:rRNA from 1 species